UACGGAGGGGGCUAGCGUUGUUCGGAAUUACUGGGCGUAAAGCGCGUGUAGGCGGCCAAGCAAGUCGGAUGUGAAAUCCCUCGGCUCAACUGAGGAAGUGCAUCCGAAACUGGCAGGCUUGAGUACUAAAGAGGGUCGCGGAAUUCCCGGUGUAGAGGUGAAAUUCGUAGAUAUCGGGAGGAACACCGGUGGCGAAGGCGGCGACCUGGGUAGAUACUGACGCUGAGGUGCGAAAGCGUGGGGAGCAAACAGG
rnacentral:rRNA from 1 species